CUCUACAAGUGUGACAUCAGCGGUCAUGGAGAGUCUCCAUCCAGCUGGAUCACUGUCACAGACACACACACCACCACACCUCCACCUACAUCCACCUCUGCUCCUGGUUCCACCUCCAUCACUCUUCCUCCAUCACUCUCUCCUGCUGUUCUCUCUCUGUUGUCAUGUGUUGGAUCAGUCUGUGUUCUGGUUCUACUGGUGUUACUGGUUCUGCUGGUGAGACAAUGUGUUCACAGGAAACCUGAAGUAGAUCAGAAAGAAGCUGGAGAAGAUGACAUUAUCACUCAAGUCAUGUACAUCACCAUCAAGAUAUCAAAUAAUCAGAAACAGCCAAUCCAAUGAAGUUGAGUACCCACAUGGCCAUCCCGGUUCACAAGCUGAACUACACGCAUCUCUGUCUGGACGCUGAUUCUCUGUUAUCAUGUUGCUCCUCCUUCAUCGUGACACUUCACCUUCAGGCCUCCCUGCCAGGUCCGUUGCUCCAAGUAUAUUCUGGACCCUCGCUGGACCCUCCUCGCAUGACGCUUUCACCUGCAAUGCGUAAGCCAUAACCAUCACAGUUUAACCCUUUAAGUGGGCACGCUCCGUUUUGCGUAGAACCAGAACUAUGUAAACUAGCCCAAAAUUUGUUUUUGCAUAUGAAACAGGAUUGUUAAUAUAAGUUGUACUUACAUGUUCUGCAUUCAGCUUGCCCUACACUGUUCCAAAAAAUAGUAAUGUCAAAGUAUCUUACUGUAAUUUUUUACAGUUUUGUACUGUCUUUCUAGGAUAUCAUUCAAUUUACAUAAGUAGACUGUGAUCUUACAUGUCAAAGGUAAAACAACAUAACAUCACUGUAAAUAUAGUAAAACACAAUUUACUUGUUUUUUAAAUAUUUUUUUUUG